ensembl:lncRNA
AGCCAACCCUGUUGUGGGGAAUCAGAGAAGGUAUCUCAAAUGGGAAGUCCAAUCUGGGUGCUUAGAGAUGUGUAAGAGUGAGCCAGGCGAAAGGAGGUGAACGUUCUCAGCUUCUCCUGAUUUGUUAACUUGGAAGUCAUAUUCUUUGUCUACCCCAAAGGACUACAGGGCCAAUGAGAACAGAAACUGCUUUCGUUCUGCCCCAACACACAACAGAAACAGAAGAACUGAAACCUCAGCUGAGGCUUCUGCUCUCGCAUUUCAGUAUCUCUUAUGACGUGGAAGAGCUGAGCGAUGCUUCUAAGGAGACAGAACUUUUUGCCUUGGUUUCCCCAAAAUUUCAAAGCAUCUUCAUGGAACAACAGAGAAUGCAAACGUUUCCAGACUAUAAUGCUGGGAUAGCUAAAGUGGAAAAUUUGAAUUUGGCAGGACCUCGUAGGGCCUUGAAAAAGGGAGCCAACUGGACUUCCUUUAUAAAGAUUAAGCCAAAAUGUGAUCCUUGGCAAAAGAAGCUUUUGACCAAACUAAAAGAACGGAGAAGAAUAGAUGUAUUAAUGCAACUCCAAGCAAAGUUUUUGAAGUUUUCCAGGAGAAAAUGAGAUUUGCAAUCAGAAUAAAUAUCAGAACUGUCAAAAUACAUGAACUCAGCCAUUCUGGUGAAGAUCCAGACACAAGGUAGAGUAAAUGUCAAAGUACCUACCCAGGAAGAGAGAACGAACACAGUUGGUGACAUUCUGCUUUCUCAUCAGCCCUCUGCUAACCUGCUUUGUGUCCAGUUCUCUUAGGGAAAUACACUUGUGGACUUUCAGCAUUUCCUGAGCAGUUUGUCUCUGUGGGCUAUGGUUAGCUCAUUGUUCCCGGAGGAUGCUGGGCUCUCUGUCUUUACUCACCCUAGCCUGCUGUGCCCCCUUCCUUUCUUCCCAGUGACCUGCCAGUCCAACAGUAUGUUUGUAGUUUGUUCAGUCAUUCCUUCAAAGUCAUUCACUGUAACUUGACGUCACUUUCUAUUCCUUUGUGUGUAAUUCUGGGUAAUUUUAGAAGCCUGAAAGAGUCACAAACCUAUCAGAGAAAAGCUAUGGCUCCUAGCCUACCCCCUGGAGCCUGGAAAUGUCAUCUUGUCUGGAACAAGACUAGAUUAGAGAGCUUCAGGGUUCCAAACAUCUACAAAUGCAUGGGUCUUCUUUUCAUAAAAUGAAUCAUAGUAAAAAUAGUGACCUCUAAUUUAUUUUAGAAACCCAGAUUUUCAUAUGUCAGGUUGAAAUGGAUCAUAAUGCUCUUCUACUUGUUCAUGUAAAUAUGCCUUGGAUCAAGAGAUUUACUUUUGAUUUUGU